rnacentral:tRNA from 1 species
CGAAAUGUAGCUUAUUUAAAGCUGUUUAUUUACAUUAAAUUGAAAAUUUUAAUUCUUUUCGA